AGAUAUGAGGCUCGAAGAGCUUGAGUUGCUGAAGAAGAAUACAAUAAUGAAGAUGUUGGGGAUGUCUAGCUAGGACACCACCUCCACAAGAUCUUUUCAAUACCAUGCAUUGCAGCAGGAAGAAAGAAAAAAUAAAACAGAAAAUAAUCAAAUAUGUGGAUCAGCCAAAAGGCUCACCUCCAUGGGGUAUGCAAGCUUCACUAUGAGAAAAGAGAAAAUUACAAGAGGAGAUCAUAUUCUCAAUCCUCGUACACCCAAUCUCUCUCUCACAAGAAGCUCUCUCUCGUAAAAACUCUCUCUUUAGAAAAACCCUCUGAACUCUUGAAGCGACUACUGUCUGCCUACUUAAUGUCUGCCUAAAGCAUCCUGCCUCUGCUCUCUGUCAGUUUCUCUCAAUCUGCAACCGCUUUGGGUCCUUGAUCGAACACACCACGUCGUGCUGCCCUUUGUUCGCUGCCACAGAUCUUUUUAAAGAACUGAAUCAGCCCUAAUCAGAUAUACACUUCGAUUAUCAUUCGAACAUGCCUCUGAACUGUCAGAUCUCGAUCGGCUCAUUUUUGGACUAUUCGAUCAUAUCUCAUCGCAUGCUACGCACCCGUUGAUCUCCUUAGAAUCAUCGACAAUCGUUCGAUCAUGAUCAGAAUCAUCCGCAACCAUCCGAUUGUGCAUUGAUCCAUGAAAUGGUAUCGUGGACCAUGAGAAAUGGCUCUGAAACUUUGUCAGUCCAUGGUGGACCGU
rnacentral:lncRNA from 1 species